AGGCCCAUCUCCAAAUAUCAACCAUCUUCUCUGAAAAUCAGCUCGCUUCUUCUCCGUUGGCCCGGUUACGCAGAGCAAAGCUGUUCAUCUACCAGAGCUGGAUGAUAGGAUGAUUGACAGCAGAGCGACUUGCCCGAUUAAAAUUGAAGUUGGAAGAACAAGGAAUUAAAUGUGGUUCUUGUCAGCCUGGGCAGUACACGCACAUGACAUGCCCACAGUGUAAAGGAGGGCCUUCAGAGGAUAAGAGCUUCUCACUUUUCAUCCGCGAG